rfam:Toxoplasma gondii VEG unplaced genomic scaffold scaffold00002, whole genome shotgun sequence.
CUUUAGGCUUCUCUAGAAGCCACCAUUCGUUCAAAAAAAAACGAG